rnacentral:rRNA from 1 species
GACGAACGCUGGCGGCGUGCUUAACACAUGCAAGUCGAACGGAAAGGCCCUGCUUUUGUGGGGUGCUCGAGUGGCGAACGGGUGAGUAACACGUGAGUAACCUGCCCUUGACUUUGGGAUAACUUCAGGAAACUGGGGCUAAUACCGGAUAGGAGCUCCUGCUGCAUGGUGGGGGUUGGAAAGUUUCGGCGGUUGGGGAUGGACUCGCGGCUUAUCAGCUUGUUGGUGGGGUAGUGGCUUACCAAGGCUUUGACGGGUAGCCGGCCUGAGAGGGUGACCGGCCACAUUGGGACUGAGAUACGGCCCAGACUCCUACGGGAGGCAGCAGUGGGGAAUAUUGCACAAUGGGCGGAAGCCUGAUGCAGCAACGCCGCGUGCGGGAUGACGGCCUUCGAGUUGUAAACCGCUUUCGCCUGUGACGAAGCGUGAGUGACGGUAAUGGGUAAAGAAGCACCGGCUAACUACGUGCCAGCAGCCGCGGUGAUACGUAGGGUGCGAGCGUUGUCCGGAUUUAUUGGGCGUAAAGGGCUCGUAGGUGGUUGAUCGCGUCGGAAGUGUAAUCUUGGGGCUUAACCCUGAGCGUGCUUUCGAUACGGGUUGACUUGAGGAAGGUAGGGGAGAAUGGAAUUCCUGGUGGAGCGGUGGAAUGCGCAGAUAUCAGGAGGAACACCAGUGGCGAAGGCGGUUCUCUGGGCCUUUCCUGACGCUGAGGAGCGAAAGCGUGGGGAGCGAACAGGCUUAGAUACCCUGGUAGUCCACGCUGUAAACGGUGGGUACUAGGUGUGGGGUCCAUUCCACGGGUUCCGUGCCGUAGCUAACGCUUUAAGUACCCCGCCUGGGGAGUACGGCCGCAAGGCUAAAACUCAAAGGAAUUGACGGGGCCCCGCACAAGCGGCGGAGCAUGCGGAUUAAUUCGAUGCAACGCGUAGAACCUUACCUGGGUUUGACAUGGAUCGGGAGCGCUCAGAGAUGGGUGUGCCUCUUUUGGGGUCGGUUCACAGGUGGUGCAUGGCUGUCGUCAGCUCGUGUCGUGAGAUGUUGGGUUAAGUCCCGCAACGAGCGCAACCCUUGUUCACUGUUGCCAGCACGUUAUGGUGGGGACUCAGUGGAGACCGCCGGGGUCAACUCGGAGGAAGGUGGGGAUGACGUCAAGUCAUCAUGCCCCUUAUGUCCAGGGCUUCACGCAUGCUACAAUGGCUGGUACAGAGAGUGGCGAGCCUGUGAGGGUGAGCGAAUCUCGGAAAGCCGGUCUCAGUUCGGAUUGGGGUCUGCAACUCGACCUCAUGAAGUCGGAGUCGCUAGUAAUCGCAGAUCAGCAACGCUGCGGUGAAUACGUUCCCGGG